AUGAAACUUGCACUCAAAUCAACUGCAGUGAGCAUUCACCCUCUCACAUCUUCCAGGAAGCACAGAAAAUAUUCAGAAGAAAAGACACCAGCCUGCUACCAGUAGAUAUCUCUGGGUCUAUGGGUCCAUGAAGAGACAAAGGCCUUUUGUUUGGGGCUUUUCAGCAGUGAGAUGACUCCCCUUCAUUCCUGAACCUCAC